rnacentral:rRNA from 1 species
CAGGAUGAACGCUAGCGGCAGGCCUAACACAUGCAAGUCGAGGGGCAGCGCUGAGUAGCAAUACUCUGGCGGCGACCGGCGAAAGGGUGAGUAACGCGUGAGCAACAUGCCCGAUAGUGGAGGAUAGUCGAUGGAAACGUCGUGUAAUACUCCGUAACAUACGGGACCGCAUGAUUCUGUAUUAAUAGAUUUAUUGCUAUCGGAUUGGCUCGCGUACCAUUAGCUAGUUGGCGGGUAACGGCCCACCAAGGCGACGAUGGUUAGGGGUUCUGAGAGGAAGGUCCCCCACAUUGGAACUGAGACACGGUCCAGACUCCUACGGGAGGCAGCAGUGAGGAAUAUUGGACAAUGGCCGGAAGGCUGAUCCAGCCAUGCCGCGUGCCGGGAAGACGGCCCUAUGGGUUGUAAACCGCUUUUGUUGGGGAGCAAUAAGGUCCACGUGUGGAUUGAUGAGAGUACCCAGCGAAUAAGCAUCGGCUAACUCCGUGCCAGCAGCGGC